rnacentral:rRNA from 1 species
AACAGGAUUAGAUACCCUGGUAGUCCACGCCGUAAACGAUGUCGAUUUGGAGGUUGUGCCCUUGAGGCGUGGCUUCCGGAGCUAACGCGUUAAAUCGACCGCCUGGGGAGUACGGCCGCAAGGUUAAAACUCAAAUAAAUUGACGGGGGCCCGCACAAGCGGUGGAGCAUGUGGUUUAAUUCGAUGCAACGCGAAGAACCUUACCUGGUCUUGACAUCCACAGAACUUAGCAGAGAUGCUUUGGUGCCUUCGGGAACUGUGAGACAGGUGCUGCAUGGCUGUCGUCAGCUCGUGUUGUGAAAUGUUGGGUUAAGUCCCGCAACGAGCGCAACCCUUAUCCUUUGUUGCCAGCGGUUAGGCCGGGAACUCAAAGGAGACUGCCAGUGAUAAACUGGAGGAAGGUGGGGAUGACGUCAAGUCAUCAUGGCCCUUACGACCAGGGCUACACACGUGCUACAAUGGCAUAUACAAAGAGAAGCGACCUCGCGAGAGCAAGCGGACCUCAUAAAGUAUGUCGUAGUCCGGAUUGGAGUCUGCAACUCGACUCCAUGAAGUCGGAAUCGCUAGUAAUCGUAGAUCAGAAUGCUACGGUGAAUACGUUCCCGGGCCUUGUACACACCGCCCGUCACACCAUGGGAGUGGGUUGCAAAAGAAGUAGGUAGCUUAACCUUCGGGAGGGCGCUUACCACUUUGUGAUUCAUGACUGGGGUGAAGUCGUAACAAGGUAACC